rnacentral:rRNA from 1 species
ACUCCUACGGGAGGCAGCAGUGGGGAAUAUUGCACAAUGGGCGCAAGCCUGAUGCAGCAACGCCGUGUGAGUGAAGAAGGUUUUCGGAUCGUAAAACUCUGUCCUAAGGGAAGAAACAAAUGACGGUACCUUAGGAGGAAGCCCCGGCUAACUACGUGCCAGCAGCCGCGGUAAUACGGUAGGGGCAAGCGUUAUCCGGAAUCACUGGGCGUAAAGGGUGCGUAGGCGGCUUAGCAAGCCAGGGGUGAAAGGCAUUGGCUCAACCAAUGUAAGCCUUUGGAACUGUUAAGCUUGAGUGCAGGAGAGGUAAGUGGAAUUCCUAGUGUAGAGGUGAAAUUCGUAGAUAUUAGGAGGAACACCAGUGGCGAAAGGCGACUUACUGGACUGUAACUGACGCUGAUGGCACGAAAGCGUGGGUAAGCGAACAGGAUUAGAUACCCUGGUAGCACAGAG